UAACCCUUUGAUCUGAUGUGAAGAGGAAGC
rnacentral:piRNA from 1 species